CAUGAUUUUUCUAGAGAUGUUAGUAGGCUGUGCACUAGGAACUUGAGUCCUUCUUGGUGGGAAGAGUCAGAACACAAAACCAGGAACUGUUUAGCCUGAUCAGUAACUGACCAGGGAGCUCCAGGCCUCCUUCUUUGUUAUACUGUGUCUCCUGCUGCUCAAAUCCCACACUUACCUUUUUGAAGGAGCUGAAGGCUUCUUCCUGAGUCUGGCCCCUCCUUUGCUAUGUGAGUAGAAGAGGCUCCUAAUCUGCCAACAUGAGAAUGCUCCCCUGUUUCUUGGACCUCACUGCCUCCUGCUUACUUGGAUUUACUUACAGUCUUGAAGAAAUGGCAGGAACCAGUCACUCCCCAUGAGGUCUCUGAAAAAUCUCUGCAGGACUUCCAACAAAAUGUCCCUUCUGAUUUUUCAACUCACACCAGGAAACAUUAGUAGCUGAUAGGCUGCCCUCUCUUUUGGGGGAAAGGCAGUGUUCUAGAAUGAACGAAACGUUAAUGUUUUACCUCCUGGAGUUCUUAGAAGAGAGCAGUCUUGGGGGCUUGGAGAGGAGUGUGAAGGGGUGUGUGCGCCAGAGGUGCAUGGCAGAACCGGCCAGCCGAGGGCCUGUCUGAGGCAGCCAUGACACACUGCUCGCGGUGAG
rnacentral:lncRNA from 1 species